GCCGGUGAUUCAACCGCAAGGAGAGUAGCCCGUCCAAGGUAUGAAUGGUGAUUGGGGUG
rnacentral:rRNA from 1 species